rnacentral:rRNA from 1 species
AUUGAACGCUGGCGGCAGGCCUAACACAUGCAAGUCGAACGGUAACAGGAAGCAGCUUGCUGCUUCGCUGACGAGUGGCGGACGGGUGAGUAAUGUCUGGGAAACUGCCUGAUGGAGGGGGACAACUACUGGAAACGGUAGCUACUACCGCAUAACGUCGCAAGACCAAAGAGGGGGACCUUAGGGCCUCUUGCCAUCGGAUGUGCCCAGAUGGGAUUAGCUAGUAGGUGGGGUAACGGCUCACCUAGGCGACGAUCCCUAGCUGGUCUGAGAGGAUGACCACCCACACUGGAACUGAGACACGGUCCAGACUCCUACGGGAGGCAGCAGUGGGGAAUAUUGCACAAUAGGCGCAAGCCUGAUGCAGCCAGGCCGCGUGUAUGAAGAAGGCCUUCGGGUUGUAAAGUACUUUCUGCGGGGAGGAAGGGAGUAAAGUUAAUACCUUUGCUCAUUGACGUUACCCGCAGAAGAAGCACCGGCUAACUCCGUG